AAAUUGAAGAGUUUGAUCAUGGCUCAGAUUGAACGCUGGCGGCAGGCCUAACACAUGCAAGUCGAACGGUAACAGGAAGCAGCUUGCUGCUUUGCUGACGAGUGGCGGACGGGUGAGUAAUGUCUGGGAAACUGCCUGAUGGAGGGGGAUAACUACUGGAAACGGUAGCUAAUACCGCAUAACGUCGCAAGACCAAAGAGGGGGACCUUCGGGCCUCUUGCCAUCGGAUGUGCCCAGAUG
rnacentral:rRNA from 1 species